AAGUCGAACGACUCUGGUAUUGAUCCGGUGCUUGCAUCAUGAUUUACAUUUGAGUGAGUGGCGAACUGGUGAGUAACACGUGGGAAACCUGCCCAGAGGCGGGGGAUAACACCUGGAAACAGAUGCUAAUACCGCAUAACAACUUGGACCGCAUGGUCCGAGUUUGAAAGAUGGCUUCGGCUAUCACUUUUGGAUGGUCCCGCGGCGUAUUAGCUAGAUGGUGGGGUAACGGCUCACCAUGGGAAUGAUACGUAGCCGACCUGAGAGGGUAAUCGCGGCGGUUGGGACUGAAACACGGCCCAAACUCCUACGGGAGGCAGCAGUAGGGAAUCUUCCACAAUGGACGAAAGUCUGAUGGAGCAACGCCGCGUGAGUGAAGAAGGGUUUCGGCUCGUAAAACUCUGUUGUUAAAGAAGAACAU
rnacentral:rRNA from 2 species